rnacentral:lncRNA from 1 species
CUGGAUGACGCUCUCCGGGGCCAGGAGGACCUGAAGGAGCAGCUGGCCAUGGUGGAGCGCAGAGCCAACCUGCUGCAGGCUGAGAUCGAGGAGCUGCGGGCCACUCUGGAGCAGACUGAGAGGAGCAGGAAGAUUGCAGAGCAGGAACUGCUGGACGCCAGUGAGCGCGUGCAGCUCCUCCACACCCAGAACACCAGCCUCAUCAACACCAAGAAGAAGCUGGAGACAGACAUUUCCCAGAUCCAGGGAGAGAUGGAGGACAUCGUCCAGGAAGCCCGCAAUGCAGAAGAGAAGGCCAAGAAAGCCAUCACUGACGCCGCCAUGAUGGCGGAGGAGCUGAAGAAGGAGCAGGACACCAGCGCCCAUCUGGAGCGGAUGAAGAAGAACAUGGAGCAGACGGUGAAGGACCUGCAACUGCGUCUGGACGAGGCUGAGCAGCUGGCGCUGAAGGGCGGCAAGAAGCAGAUCCAGAAACUGGAGGCCAGAGUGCGUGAACUGGAGGGUGAGGUAGAGAGUGAGCAGAAGCGGAAUGUUGAGGCUGUCAAAGGGCUUCGAAAACACGAGAGGCGAGUGAAGGAGCUUACUUACCAGACAGAAGAAGACCGAAAAAAUAUCCUCAGGCUUCAAGAUUUGGUGGAUAAACUCCAAGCAAAAGUAAAAUCUUACAAGAGACAAGCUGAGGAGGCUGAGGAACAAUCCAACACAAAUCUAUCCAAGUUCCGCAAGCUGCAGCAUGAGCUGGAGGAAGCCGAGGAGCGGGCUGACAUCGCCGAGUCCCAGGUCAACAAGCUGCGGGUGAAGAGCCGCGAGGUUCACACUAAAGUCAUAAGUGAAGAGUAAGGCAGCUCUGAUGCUGUAGAAUGACCGAAGAGAGGCACAAAAUGUGAAGCCUUUGGUCAUGUCCCCAUGUGAUUCUAUUUAAUCCUAUUGUAAGGAAAUAAAGAGCCCAAGUUCUUUGCAAGCAAU